UACGUAGGGGGCAAGCGUUGUCCGGAAUUAUUGGGCGUAAAGCGCGCGCAGGCGGUCUCUUAAGUCUGAUGUGAAAGCCCACGGCUCAACCGUGGAGGGUCAUUGGAAACUGGGGGACUUGAGUGUAGGAGAGGAAAGUGGAAUUCCACGUGUAGCGGUGAAAUGCGUAGAUAUGUGGAGGAACACCAGUGGCGAAGGCGACUUUCUGGCCUACAACUGACGCUGAGGUGCGAAAGCGUGGGGAGCAAACAGG
rnacentral:rRNA from 1 species